rnacentral:rRNA from 1 species
UACAGAGGUCUCAAGCGUUGUUCGGAUUUAUUGGGUUUAAAGGGUGCGUAGGCGGCCUGUUAAGUCAGGGGUGAAAGACGGUAGCUCAACUAUCGCAGUGCCCUUGAUACUGAUGGGCUUGAAUGUACUAGAGGUAGGCGGAAUGUGACAAGUAGCGGUGAAAUGCAUAGAUAUGUCACAGAACACCAAUUGCGAAGGCAGCUUACUAUGGUAUAAUUGACGCUGAGGCACGAAAGCGUGGGGAUCAAACAGG